CCGCAAAAUUUGUGCUAAGGUAGCAUAAUCACUUGCCUGAUAAUUAUAGGAUAGAAUGAAGGGGCUAACAUGUAAUACUCUCUAUCAAGAAGAUUAUUUUAACUUAUAAAGUAAGCAAGAACCCUUACUAACUUCAGGGGGACGAUAAGACCCUGUCAAACUUUACCUAAAGGUUUAGCUGGGGCGGCAUAAAAACAUGUCUUUUUCCAAAAUUAACAUAAAAGCCUAAAAUCGGACAAAACAAGUUACUGCAGGGAUAACAGCACAAUUACCAUUAAAAGACCUUAUAAAAAGGGUAGCUUGUGACCUCGAUGUUGAAUUAAAGAUCUAUUAGAGGCAGCACUCUAAAAAGAAA
rnacentral:rRNA from 1 species